UUCUCAGCCCCACUCUCACCAUUAGUUACAUCACUGUCAUCCUUAACCACAUGCAACCCCUCAGCUCAACUCUUCCCAUGAUCCAUAUACCAUAUCCCAUCUACUGCACUAUACUUGGCAUGUCGAAUCCCAAGAUAUUGGAGCUCAAAUAAACCCAUUAAAUUGGUAAGAAGGAAUAAGGUCUUUGAAGUCCAACCAACAUAAGUGGGUUCUGGACCACUAAAAUACAUAACACCACCACUAAACAAGCGGAUUUCAAUGGUGGCAGCCAUGCUGCAAAGGAGACCAAGAAAGCACAUCAAUUCAUUUGAUCAACCAAGUUCAUCUAUGAACGAAGUAAAAAAGGUACAAUUAUGUAGGAUCACCAAGUUUAAGCUACCAACCACACAAACAAAACCUCACACAUGCAAGCUACCAACCACAAACUGCCAAUUCUACCGUGAAUGUCAAAAUAUGCCACAACACAGCCCUUUCCACUGUCACUGUUUUACUAAAGCUGCUAAAAAGUAUUCGAUUAGGAUAGUUACUUCACCUUAUGGUCCCAAGAAGAUUGAAACCCG
rnacentral:lncRNA from 1 species